UAAACUUCUCGGCCUUUUGGCUAUGAUCAAGUGUAGUAUCUGUUUUUAUCAGUCUUAUCGGUGGUUCGGGCACCGCCGAUGUGUGACUGGUGAGGAUGGUUGCUGGUUAGAGGCGGUAGGUGUACCGGGAGAUUCUGGGGCCUGGUUUCUGCGGAAAUCAGCUCAACGUCUGCCCUUAUGAGACCUGUUCCC